rnacentral:rRNA from 1 species
UACGAAGGGUGCAAGCGUUACUCGGAAUUACUGGGCGUAAAGCGUGCGUAGGUGGUUUUGUUAAGUCUGAUGUGAAAGCCCUGGGCUCAACCUGGGAAUUGCAUUGGAUACUGGCAGGCUAGAGUGCGGUAGAGGGUAGUGGAAUUCCCGGUGUAGCAGUGAAAUGCGUAGAGAUCGGGAGGAACAUCUGUGGCGAAGGCGACUACCUGGACCAGCACUGACACUGAGGCACGAAAGCGUGGGGAGCAAACAGG